rnacentral:misc_RNA from 1 species
GGCACACAUGAGCAAGUCAUCUUCAAGUCCACAAGUCUACCAACUUCAUCCAUAGCCUUCUCUACCGCAUUAGAAAAGUUCUUUGAGCUACUCUGCUUUGACAUCUCCAAAAAAUUAUCACCUAAAGGCUUCAACUGAGAUGUAUUGCACCAAGCAAAUGUCCCAUCUCCAAAGUAAGCCACAAGAAUCUUAUCCCGUGGUUUAACUUUUUUGGCAUAAUCAGAUGCAUCCAAUGGAUCAUAAAUCCGCCCUGGCCACCAAGGGUGACUUCUAAUCUUGGCCCAAACAAAAUCACCAACCCUAAAUUCAUGCUCUUCAUCUCCCAUAUUAUCCU